GAUGAACGCUGGCGGCGUGCCUAAUACAUGCAAGUCGAACGCAUAGCGAAAGGUGCUUGCACCUUUCAGGUGAGUGGCGAACGGGUGAGUAACACGUGGACAACCUGCCUCAAGGCUGGGGAUAACAUUUGGAAACAGAUGCUAAUACCGAAUAAAACUUAGUGUCGCAUGACACAAAGUUAAAAGGCGCUUCGGCGUCACCUAGAGAUGGAUCCGCGGUGCAUUAGUUAGUUGGUGGGGUAAAGGCCUACCAAGACAAUGAUGCAUAGCCGAGUUGAGAGAAUGAUCGGCCACAUUGGGACUGAGACACGGCCCAAACUCCUACGGGAGGCUGCAGUAGGGAAUCUUCCACAAUGGGCGAAAGCCUGAUGGAGCAACGCCGCGUGUGUGAUGAAGGCUUUCGGGUCGUAAAGCACUGUUGUAUGGGAAGAACAGCUAGAAUAGGAAAUGAUUUGAGUUUGACGGUACCAUACCAGAAAGGGACGGCUAAAUACGUG
rnacentral:rRNA from 1 species